UCUUCUGAGGUUGUGUGAAUUUUAUGGAGUGUGAUUAAUUAUACCCCUCCUUUUCUCUGAGGUUUGAACAAAUUAUGCAAAACCACAAGGAACCAGGUCAGCAUUGUUUCAAUUAUGUAUUGCUGGGUAACCAACUACUCCAAGUGACUUAAAACAACCAUUUUAUUUUUUCACAGUUUUGCUUUCCUGGGCGGCUGUCAAUUGGGCAAUUUUCCUGAUUUUGCUGGUGAUCACACUUUAAUGGCUGCAUUCAGCUGGCAGUUCAGCUGGAGGCUGGACACCCUCUACCCGCCUCCCCCCCCAACUUUUCUCCAUGUAGUCCUGUUCUGCGGUCUCCAAUCCUCUUGCCAAGGCUCGCCGAGUACCAGUCUGUGGCCUGUUAGGAAAACAGGGCUGUGCAUCACCACCUGAACUCCUCGCACCGCUGCCACACCACCCCCAUCUGUGGAAAAAUUGUGUUCUGUGAAACCGGUGCCUGGUGCCAAAAAGGUUGGGGACUGCUGGAGGUAGUCUCAGCCCUUUCCUCUCCAUGUUUGUUGUUAGUGGCUUAGGGCUCACUAGAGUACAAAAAUCAGAAGCAACCAGGCCUUCUUAAGACACAGGCUUGGAACUGGCACAGUGUAAUUUCUGCAUCAUUUUGUUGAUUAAAGCAAGUCACAAGUCUAGCCCAGAUUCAAGGGGAGGGGCUACACAAAUGGGUGAAUCCAUUCGGGGCCAGCAAUGUAACUUUAGCACAAAUUUUAUUUACGUACAGCAUCAGCUGAAUUGCACCAAAACAGGGCUUUGGGAAAACUAUUUUGGAAGCUGAAGCUUGAGCAGCUUACUAGUUUCUCCAAAUGUAGACUUUGAGUUUGAGCCUGCCAGAGGGAAAGCUGAGUCUAAAGUGCAAAUGACAGCCCAUUUGGCUUGCUACACGGAUGGGAAUAGCCAGCACUAUUCGUGGUUAGAAAAGAGCAAAUUUGGGGCUUCUGCAGUUUGACCUACUAUGCUACCAAAUGGGGCAGGAUUGACUUACUCUACUUGAGGGUGGUGGGGACUAAAAAAGUACAGGACCCAAGAGCCACAUUGCAGGGAAGCAGUGAUUUACCCAGUCUCAUGAAUUGGACCAGACAGCACCCCCUGCAGAUAAUGGACCACAGUGAGCCCAGGAACUGUCUUGCUACAGCAGUAACUUGUAUGCAGUGAGAACCAGUUCUCAUGAUUCAUGAACCUGAGAUGUCAUUUGCUUGGGUGAUCUCCCAUCUGUGAGGGAAAUGAAUUUGGAGAACUCCUAGUUAAAAACAGUUGGCCCCUGACAUGGAAUAACUUCCACAGCAAGCACACUACUGCUCCAAGAAUUUUUAGUGGAAAGCGAAGAGGCCAUGACUAACACGUCAAAAGCACAGGCAACAAAAAUAGACAAAUGGUACAUAAUUAAACUACA